rnacentral:rRNA from 1 species
AGAGUUUGAUCAUGGCUCAGGAUGAACGCUGGCGGCGUGCCUAAUACAUGCAAGUCGAGCGAACGGACGAGAAGCUUGCUUCUCUGAUGUUAGCGGCGGACGGGUGAGUAACACGUGGAUAACCUACCUAUAAGACUGGGAUAACUUCGGGAAACCGGAGCUAAUACCGGAUAAUAUUUUGAACCGCAUGGUUCAAAAGUGAAAGACGGUCUUGCUGUCACUUAUAGAUGGAUCCGCGCUGCAUUAGCUAGUUGGUAAGGUAACGGCUUACCAAGGCAACGAUGCAUAGCCGACCUGAGAGGGUGAUCGGCCACACUGGAACUGAGACACGGUCCAGACUCCUACGGGAGGCAGCAGUAGGGAAUCUUCCGCAAUGGGCGAAAGCCUGACGGAGCAACGCCGCGUGAGUGAUGAAGGUCUUCGGAUCGUAAAACUCUGUUAUUAGGGAAGAACAUAUGUGUAAGUAACUGUGCACAUCUUGACGGUACCUAAUCAGAAAGCCACGGCUAACUACGUGCCAGCAGCCGCGGUAAUACGUAGGUGGCAAGCGUUAUCCGGAAUUAUUGGGCGUAAAGCGCGCGUAGGCGGUUUUUUAAGUCUGAUGUGAAAGCCCACGGCUCAACCGUGGAGGGUCAUUGGAAACUGGAAAACUUGAGUGCAGAAGAGGAAAGUGGAAUUCCAUGUGUAGCGGUGAAAUGCGCAGAGAUAUGGAGGAACACCAGUGGCGAAGGCGACUUUCUGGUCUGUAACUGACGCUGAUGUGCGAAAGCGUGGGGAUCAAACAGGAUUAGAUACCCUGGUAGUCCACGCCGUAAACGAUGAGUGCUAAGUGUUAGGGGGUUUCCGCCCCCUUAGUGCUGCAGCUAACGCAUUAAGCACUCCGCCUGGGGAGUACGACCGCAAGGUUGAAACUCAAAGGAAUUGACGGGGACCCGCACAAGCGGUGGAGCAUGUGGUUUAAUUCGAAGCAACGCGAAGAACCUUACCAAACCUUGACAUCCUUUGACAACUCUAGAGAUAGAGCUUUCCCCUUCGGGGGACAAAGUGACAGGUGGUGCAUGGUUGUCGUCAGCUCGUGUCGUGAGAUGUUGGGUUAAGUCCCGCAACGAGCGCAACCCUUAAGCUUAGUUGCCAUCAUUAAGUUGGGCACUCUAAGUUGACUGCCGGUGACAAACCGGAGGAAGGUGGGGAUGACGUCAAAUCAUCAUGCCCCUUAUGAUUUGGGCUACACACGUGCUACAAUGGACAAUACAAAGGGCAGCGAAACCGCGAGGUCAAGCAAAUCCCAUAAAGUUGUUCUCAGUUCGGAUUGUAGUCUGCAACUCGACUACAUGAAGCUGGAAUCGCUAGUAAUCGUAGAUCAGCAUGCUACGGUGAAUACGUUCCCGGGUCUCGUACACACCGCCCGUCACACCACGAGAGUUUGUAACACCCGAAGCCGGUGGAGUAACCUUUUAGGAGCUAGCCGUCGAAGGUGGGACAAAUGAUUGGGGUGAAGUCGUAACAAGGUAACC